GUGAGACCGACACACCAAGCAGCCCCUGCUCACCAAAUUCACUGCUCGGGCAGCGAUCCUUGGACCAGCAAGAAGCCGGCUUGCUGUACAUCCAUCAUGGAUUUGAUCCACUCGCAGGCAGUAAAUCUGGUGAACCAGGUUACAUGGGACGCCUCUGCUACGUGCACAGACCGAUGAACCACAGACAAGCAGUAGGUGGUUCUGGCCCUAACCACUGCUUUGGCCAAGCUGCCGUGCAUCUAAAUAUCGUGGAUGAGCACGGCAGAGUUGAAAAGAGCUGAGAGAUGCUGAAGGUUUGCUGUUCUUCUGCCUCAGCCUGCAACACAAAAGGAUCUCUUCCCAUCUCCACCACAACACUUACGCUCCUCCUCUAGGAAAUGCAGGGCAUGCAUGCUUACUUUUUUUUCCCUUUCCACCUUGCAUCUACUUUAAAUAAAAAACAGUAAAAAGGGGGAAAAAAAUCCUUAUUCAGUUAUUAGCCCAUCCUAAGGGCAUAGGGCAGCUUGGUUAGCUCUGCAACACAUCACAUAGCCUAUAGUAAUGCCCCAUACUUGCUGUCAGCGUGGUCCCUGUUUACAUUCAGUCUGAUUUUCAGCUUCACACUGAAGCCCUGGGAGUUCUCAAGUGAUGAGAUUUCUCUGCCCCCCAGAUUGAGCCUGUAGUUUGGACUCUUCCCGACAAUCACAUGCGAAGUUGUGAUUUCAUUUCAUACAGUAGAUAAUGGCAGUACUGCGUGAAGCAACCUUACCUCACACAGCAAAAAGAAGUCAGGCAAUUGAUCUACAGGAUCUGUGGCAAGGUCUCCAUUGUCAGCCUUUAUUCACAGUCAUCUGUGAUGAUAGUACCAAGAUUUUGAGACCCAUGGAUGUUAACCUUGACUGAAGUCCCCACAUUUGGAUGUAUUUUGAGGUCUUCCAUGAAGGACAAAUGCACAUUCUCACCAUUUUUGUACUUUAUUCCUGUUCUCUUCAAACACAGUGGCUUUUUUCCCUGUUUGUAAUCAGCAACUUCUGGUCAAACAGCACAAAGAGGCUUAGACAGCACUAAGAACUUCCUUCACAUAUUUGCUCUCACUACUGCUAGCUGUUGUGUGACCCGUGACUCAAAACUAUGGUGGCAACAGUUGGAUAAUUCACUGAAUAUUACGGGUUUUUUUCAGCCUAUGUGGCCACGUUCCUUUU
rnacentral:lncRNA from 1 species